rnacentral:lncRNA from 1 species
AAAAAGAUGCUUUUGUUUUUACUUUUCUGUUUUGGUUGCGUAAAUGUCCAUUGAUUUAAUUUGAAUUAAUAUGUGCAUUUGAAUAUGAUAAAUGUUUACCAAAAUAUAUGCGUAGAAUAGCAAUAGCAAUUACUACCCGACUUCAGGAUCGAGGAGAAGGUCUAACCAUGCUUCCAAUGAAUCCGCUACCAAUUCUAUUCCCCCAGCAAGUCUGUUAUUCCUCAGAAGAAAUUAG